rnacentral:tRNA from 1 species
AAGGAUUUAAGUUAAAUAAACUAUUAACCUUCAAAGUUAAAAAUAGAAUAAAUUUUCUAAGCCUUA